CAACAGGACUGUCUCAACUUACCCCACUCUCCCCUACAGUGCGUGUGCUGAGGGAGUGUAUUUGACUCACAUCAUGUCAAGGCCAUCAUUCUUACUUUCACAGAGAAGACAUAUCAAUGCCUGCCCAUGUCGUCUUGCUGCUGGUAUUGCCAUGCUGUUUGGGUAAGUGGAGGACUGAGCUUUCUCUGUCUGCUGCGGCUGGUGAGCAAACGUUACAAAAACAGGUUAGCUCGUGACACUAGCAGCACCUAUAAACAAACUAGCUAGCAUUAGCCACCUUGGCAGAUGUCCCUUUUAAAUUAUAGUUUUUCUGAGGGAUGUCAGCAUUUUUCUCUGCCAUCCUGCUGAGCCAUAAAAACGCUAAUGCCGACUUUUCAUACCACCGGUUCAUUCAUACUUGUACGUACUUUACGUUUUGUCCAGUCCCAGUUUUUCCUCCUCGGGUAACUCCGAUGGGGUGCGAUACCGGCGGCCCCCUGGAGGGGCGCUGUGCUAGUUUAAGAAACAAAUGCAAACAGUAGAGUUAAACCGUAGUAGCAUUUAAAGUCGUUAUUUUGUCAUUAAGUAUGGUUCGUGAAAGUCAGCUGGCUGUUUAAGGGGUGAACAGCACAGUAUUUUUGGAGGCAAAGUGAGCUCAGGCCUGUUGUCUGUCCACACUUUUGUCCAUGGUUCAGAGGCUAGAGGUGGCACAAACAAGCUUUAUAUAUAUAUACACCCAACAGUCUAAACCAGAAUAUGACUUGUCAGAAGGUUGUUGUCUGGUAAUGAGCCUCUAAUUAAUUAAAAGUCAUGUAUCUGAAGUGGUGAAAUUAUCAGUGGGUGCAAAGAAUCAAAUGAACCUCACUAUUCAUUCAACAGGAAGACGUCAUGCUUCUAUACUACUAUUGCUUUGGAGUUUUUAUUGUAGUUCAGUUCUUCUACCUAUUGCCUAAGAUAAAUAACUUGUGGAUUACAAAUAGGUCAAUCAUUCAGUUUGUUCCCCCUGUAGCAGCUGUUUAAAAUCUGAGUUUCAACAUUUGAUCAUUGGUUUUAAGAAGCUUUCUCUGUUCACCUUUUAGAAACUAUUUGAUUCUCAAUCACCUCUCCCACAUUAGCCCAUUCAUUCAGGCUGAAUCAAUGCUAACUGCUGCCAUAUCUUUCUACUGUUGACAGACCAUACACGAGCAAAAUAUUUUUCCAAACGCUGACAAAUAUUCAUUAUUGUAUUGCACUCAGCUGUUAGAGCAAAGACCUUCAGGUUUCAUAGCAUGUUUUUCACUGCUCUUUCAUAUUUUUUCUAGGGGGUAGAAAUCACUAAAAGCAUAAAAAUGAGGAUUUAUAAAAGAGACUUCUAUCUCAACACAGCUUGCAUCCCAAGAUUUUUUUUCAGUGCGACUGCUACCACUUUGCAGAAAGCCACAGUGUUUUCAGAUACAGUGACACAGUGGCUUAUGAUAACCCACAGACCUUGUUAUUGACAGUUUUGUCCUACUGCAUGGAGAUGAACAGUUGGCAGGAAGUAGUUUUCAUACAGCUCACAAUGAGACAUUUCUGCAUUACCAUUGCUGUCUCGUUUUUUUUAUUUUUUUAAGAAAUGUUGCUGUUGAGCUUUUUAUCCUUCUAAGCUCUGAACACCACAGACCAAAUGCUGCUGUGUGAAUUGUACUGGAGUAUCCUACAGAAUACAUGGAAGAAAAAAAAGAAGCUCAGAGAAGAAGAAAAGUUUUUGUUGUCAUGUUGGGAAGACUGUGUCUUUAUACCACUGUGUUCAUGUGGGUAAUAGUAACAAAGAGUAUCCCCAUUGAAGUUCCCUUUAUUUAGAUUCAGAAGAAUCAAAAAGAGGGUAAAAGUGAACAUUUCCACUGGAGCUCGAGUCUUAGGGAAUACAAAGCUCGUUCACGACUGACAGAGGGCCCUGUGUAUUUCAGAGUCAGAGAGAAAAGUGUGCAUUAGCAUAUUCAUACCAAAGUUCCCUAAAGUGGCACAUAUGGAUGUAAAAAUGCUGCCAACUCUAUCAGCAGGGUAGUGAAUGUUGCAUGACUUGCAUUGUGUGCAUCUCCUCCUCCACCUCCUUUUAUUCUGCCCCUUGUGAGAUGAAUGCUAACUGGUCCAUAAGGGAACAGCACUCCAUAUUUACUUUAAUAGUGAUAGUAUACUGUACUCAUGCUUAUCUUUCAAACCCAUGAUACAUCAGUUAUUUUUUUCGUACCUUCUUCUUUUGAAUUUGCUCACAUGGCUAUUUUUUGUUUCCUUUAAUUGGAAGCCGACAGUGUUCCAACAGCUUUUGAUAAAACAUGUGCUUCUUACUUGCUGUGGGUUUUCAGACCAUGUUAAGGAUGGACACAGACACAUAAUAAUCGAUAAGUGACAAAUAAAAAAGAUAGCUAUUUUCUCGGGUCAACUUUUCUUGUCCUAAAAUAUGAAACAAAAUCUGUCGAGCUUAGUUCACAAGACUUCCCAGCCAAAUUUCCCAGUUUUGACUGCAGAACUUGUUGGCAUGGUUGGUAGUGUUCCUCUCAGUAGGGUGGCCAUGGUUUUUGUAUGUGUGUGUUUGUUUGUGCUUAUGUCUGUUUGCUGCUUGUGUGCAUGUGUUUGGCAGUGACUGUGAUUAGGAUGGAAAUAUGUGUUGGCUAGCUGACUUGCUAAAUUGUUCUAAAUGAGAACAAAUGAAAAAGGAGGCCAGGAAUAGAAGUUGGGGAUGAAUGGACACUGAAGAAGAUAAAAGGUUUAUAGAGCAGUGACAGCCAGUCCUGCAUGUGUGUGUCAGGCCUCUGAUGUUACAGGUGCUAUCGUUUAAUCCCUCCACUUUCUCAUAGCGCCAGUUGCACGUCCUCCCCCCCCUCCCUUCUCCAUCUUCAUGCCUGCUUGUGUGUUUGUCUGUGUGUUUCUCUCCUCUAUCGUCUCUGUUUCCUCCAGCCCGAGUAAAUGUCAGAGCAAGCUGCUGCUCUUCCCAGACCACGCCGUGGGAGACAGACCAACCUCAUCGCCGCGGCAACCCUCUGUUCUGGCUCAAAGAAAAGAGGCAAGGGCGGAGAAGAAAGGAACUUUUAUGCCUCUAAACCCCCACUAGUUUCCUCAUCCCCCCUCAUCCUUGUGCAUUGUAGCCCAGCCCUGAACCAUGUGGCCAAGCUCCCAGGCUUUACUGUGACUAGAGAGGAAGAAGAGAGGAGACUGCAAUUACUAAGUAGGUAACGAGGGAUUUCUAACAGUCGGUUAGAAAGUAAGACGUUUUAGAAAUAUUGGCAGGAAACUCUACAGGACAUUGCUCUUUUAACGAUACUUUAUAAAUAAAUGGAAAAAAAAAAUCUCUUCCAUUCGAAAAUAAAGAAACCCUGCCAAAGAAAUUUCUUAUAAGAGGAAAGAAAACUUCACUAGAAUUACCAGAAAGGCAGCGCAAGGAAAUGGCAAUAUUAGAUUUCCCAGAGCACUUCCUUGGCUUGGAGCCAUUGUAUUUGAUUUCAAUUUAUACCAGCAGGAGGCUGCCUGAUACUUUUCUUCUCUGGUAAUGGCUUUCUUCUCAGGCUUUCUUGUCACCUCUAACAAGAAGUGCACCUGAAGGGAUUUCAGUGGUCAUAAGGCGAAGUCGUAGGAGCCCGUCCAAGGACUGUCACUCAUAUCCACAGUUAGGCAAUUUUUUUUUCAAAACGGCACAAUCAGUUGUGGGACUAAGUUGAGCAGCAGAUAUGGCAGCAUUCAGCUAUUACCCUCCUUGAGGGGAAGGUGGAAGAAUGUUGGAAAGACAAAAACUGAGAGAGAAGGAUAGAAGUGUGGCAGUGCUGGUCAGAAGUGAGAAACCAUCUGGUUGUAGGUGAGGGACCAUAUUUAACGCUGGCUGAAGCCCAAUAUUGUGUCACUGGUGCAUCCAUUUUGUAGCCUGUAAAUACUUCUAUUUCCCACUCUAAAUGUUUUUAUUUUUCUCCUCUCAGUUUCUCAAUAUAGUUGUUUGCAGCAAAUAUUCACUAUAUUUACCAUCCUUGAAAUAUCAGUGAGCCAAAAUAUACACAAAACAUGGCCUGUUUUGUCUCUGCAGCAUUUUUUCUGCUCCACUAAUGUAAAAAUAUUUCUCUUAAUACAGCUCUUUUUAAAGUUCUUUAAUUAGAUAGCACAGAAAGAUUGCAUUUGACAUAGAGACUAACUCAUCUCUACUUUCCUUGACAUGAAAUUUUUGCAGUAUUUGCAUUUUAAUAGGAAUAUUUGUGUUUUUGGUAGCAGAGAGGGGGCUGUUCUGUCCAGUCAUAAUCUGUGAUUACACACAUGUGAUUAUAUUUUCCCUCAUUAGAGCUGAUAUGUGCAUGUGCAUGGAGGGAGACAAAGACAGGCUCUUUGUGAGAGCUGCAGCAGGUGUGUAGGACUGAAUUUCCAUGUGAGAUGGUCUGGAGGAUCUUGAUCAUAUGAGCUUCUUUUUUUGAAGAUAUGUGUGCGUGUAGUAUUGCAACCAUGUUCACUCUUGUGUGUCUGCAUGGACUGUGUAUGAAUAAUAGUGUUUUCUGCUUGGCUGGCCGUGCCGGUGUGUGCCUGUGUUCAGGUUGCACAUGACCCUGACUCUGCUGGGAGGUCCGUGUCUUUCAUGCCUCCCUCAAAUCUGGGUCAAAGGAUGAAAGAAUAACCCCUAUCUGCUAUGACACACCGGUCUGUAUGAAAAAUGACUUCCUGGAGGUUUGAGUGGUAACAAGGUGGCAUAGUGGAGGACACAACUUUUAAAAUUCACCUUAUAGAGCAGCAGACACACUGUCCUAAAUCGAGAUCCUGUCACCUCUCUCUACUGACGUAGUUCCUCACUGCACGAGGUACUCAUCUAGUCUUCCCUCAUCUCCUUUUUCCUGUCCCUCUCACUUUGUUUCAGCACAUCUCACAGCUGACCUUGCAUACACCAGAUGAGAACGCUGGAUUUGCAAGUCGACGGCAAGUCGAUUAGGAAUGCAGUGUGGCUCAGUGUCUCCUGGCAUCUCUAUGUCUGUCUCCCCUCGCUCUCACAGCUGUUCAUCUCUUUCUCUUGUAGACUUUCUUCUCUCACUCAGUAAGCCUCUCCAACAAUGCUGCUGCUCUGAACCCGCUUCAACCCUCAGAGGAGGGAAAAGCCAUGCCGGGGCAUUUGUGCAUGUCAGUGUAUGUGCAGGCAAGCAUGAUUAUAUGAGUGAGUGUAUGUGUGUGUCUCUUUGUGUGGCAGCUAGGAAAGGUAGUUUUUGCCAAAGAACAGAAUGAGCAUCCUAAGUUCCCUGCAAACCGAGUGGUGGCUGUCAUCGAGGUCUUCUCUUAAAAAGAAUAAAGAUUUUAAAAAAAGGGGGAAAAAAAAGGGAAAUAGGAAAUUGUUCCUGCACUGGGACACUCCUCUCUGCCUCUCUCACAGCUUCAGCCCUGUGGGCUUCAAGCUUGAAGCAGGGCAGAGUGUGCAGAGGAUGUUAAGACCUACUGCCUGUCAUAGAUAAAGGCUGCAGACCUCCUACUAGCAGUGGGACACAGCCAUCUGGGAGGACCACUUGCAGUGCCUCAUACCCAUUUGACCCCCUGUUGCACACCCUUGUAUUGACGCACACUCAGCCUCCUUAGAAGCCCAUGCUGGGCAAAGCAGGACACUGUCGGAUUGAUGGAGAGGUCCCCACGAUACGUUUUUGUCUCCGGCAACUUUUACAAAACAUUCAAAACAGACCCUCCUCAUUACUCCCAACACUGUGUUCAUUCUCUCCCCACCUCCUCUUUGUCUCCAACCCUCCACAGCUUGAGCAGCAUACUGUUUCUGGACCAUUCCCUGUUGAUGGAAAAAGGGGGUUACUCAUUUGUCAUUGUGUGAACAGUCAUCGCUGCCUGCUAGGGGUUCAUAAUGACAGAGAGAUGGUUUGCUCUGUCAGCAAGACCUAAAGUGGACCAAAAAAAAGGGGGCUAUCUCAUACUUCCUGAAAUACCAGCGAAAUAAGCAUUUAAAUUACACAGAUGUGCCAUGUGCUUGCCUCCAUAAAUAUUAAAAAUCAUGGUUUGCACUUUUCCUAGUUUUUUUGAAGAAUGCUUUUGUUCUGUCUUUCACACCCUCACUUGUUUCUUUUGUUAUAUUUUGCCCUAAACUGUGCAGAAAUGUAAAUUUAAUGAUGAGGACUCUCUGUAGUACACUCAAGCUUGAUUAUUUAAACAGCACCAAGCUAUCAGCAGAGAAUUGUAUCUACAGAACUCUAAAGAGACCGUUUGCUCUUUCAACAAGAAUUUGUCUCUAGCCUCUCUACAGUAAUGUUUAAAACCACCCACAUUGAAUAUAUAAUAUUUAAAAAAAAAACACAUAUUUCAAUUAUUAACCUGCUUGACAUUGAGAGCUACUUUCUUCACUUUGUUAUUCUUCUGGGAUAACUUCAUGUUCAAGAAAGCCAGAUGUGCUUAGACAUGUAAAUGACUACAAAAGAUAAUGUGCCUUUUAUGGUUAUAGCUCCGUGGUCCGUGGUCAGUUAUAUGAGAACUUAGUUACUGAAUUUAAGAGCAUGUCGCUGUCCAACAGAAUAUUUGAGUUUACCAGGAUCAGAAAUGUCAUUAAUGUGCUAUGUGGUAUCAGUGAGAAAACCAGUCAAUGCACCCAUCCAAUACCUCAGUUAAUACGCCCUUUAAGAAAUUACUUUAUCUCUUCUUCUCCAAAAUAAGUAUCUACACAGAAUUACCAUGAAAUAUAGCUGCAACUACACAGUGCUUUACUGAAACAUCCACAGCAUAUGCCAGGAUACUUAUCAAGUGAUGGUAGAAAACAGUCAUCUCAGCUUGUUUCUAGGUGAGAAUUCAUUCAGUGUCUUUAGCCAGGUUGCAUGACAAUGAUACCAAAACUGUUUAAGUAAUAUAUCAAGUCUUUUGUAUUGGAAUGGUGGGUACUUGGGAUUUACCUUGUUGAAUUCAAGUAUUGGAAUCAUAACCAGUAAGCAUCACUUCACAAAAUCAUUGUAUUUAGUAAAGUAUUGAUAGUUAAAUUACUUUUAGUCUUGAGUCAUUCUAAGAAGCAUUUACCUGCAACCCUGGAGCAGAGGCCCCUGGUGACGUUUCUGGAAAAGUCGUAGAUGACAAAUUUCCUUCCAGUAAUUAGACUGAAUGACUCAAAAUUAUGUUUAAAGCUGCAAUGAAAAAUAAUUAUUUAAUUAUAUAAUUGAAUCCAGGUAUACCCCCCUCAUAUGAACAUGUACUGUACAUUUUGUUUUUAUUUUAAAAAAAGGUAUGUAAGCAAGUAAACAGUUGUGAUAAAUUCCAAAAUUAGCGAAUACUUUUUUCCCAGUGAAUUUCCAUUGAAUCGUCCAUCCAUCCAUCCAUCCAUCCAGGUCAGGUCGCGGGGGCAGCAGCCUGAGCAAAGAAGCCAAGACUUCCUUCUCCCCAGCCACUUAGUCCAGUUUCUGGGGGACCUUAAGGCGUUCCCAGGCCAACUGAGAGACAUAGUCUCCAUUGAAUUAAUCUUAAAAAGUUAAAUUCAUGAAAUAUCAUUCAAAUAUCAGUCAUCCCAGAACCUGUGCUCAACCAGGCAGCAAAGUCUGGUCCCUCUGAAUUUUCUGCCAUUUUUACUCUAUUUAUUUAUGAUUUUGUUGUGUUUUGUCAACUGCAGGUGGAUGUUUCUGCUGUGAGAGGAGUUUGUUCAGGAGAGGAGCCUCUUUCAUUGAGACGGAGCAGGUCUGGAUGACGGCAUCCAGUUCCAGUGGACAUCUGGAGGCAUUAUCGAGGUUGCCAUGCUGGUGUAGAGGUGAAGGCAAAGAUGAAGGCCAGGAAAUGAAAAUAUAAGCCCGCCGGAAACAAACUCUUUGUUCAGUGUGGAUCUGCCUGUUUUCACUCUCAUAAGGUCAGUCAGAGAUGCUAAAGCUAGUGGCAAGAAGUAAGGAGGGGGUCUAGCUUUCUCUGUUAACCAGAGAUGGUGUAACCUUUCACAUAUAACUGUCAAGGAGAGGAUGUGUUGUCCAGAUAUUGGACUGCUGGCUGUUGCUCUUCAGCUAUAUUAUGUUCCAAGGGAGUUCAGUCAUAUCAUAACAAUACUUGUAUAUAUCCCACCCAAGGCAACGGCUGAAGUUCCAUGUUUGGAUUCAAGUUUCAUUUGAUUGGAAUGAAGUUGGACUCACUAGAGGAUGUGAUGUAGUAGCCUGGCUGGGCCAUCCAGUUGCGUGAAUCACUUGCCGUUCCUUCCCACAAGUGAUUCACGCAACUGGAUGGCCCAGCCAGGCUAGUGAUGUAGAGAUGCACACUGAGGAAACUAGAGGCCAUUCAAAAAAACAUGGAUCAUCAACUUCAUGACACCUUGAUGGACCAAAAAAACAGUGAUGAUCUAUUAGCUGCAGAAUGAAGAGAUUCAGAAGAUCUUUUGAACCCACAGCCAUCAGAAUUUUUAAUUCUUCUAUAAAUAGUAGAUGAGAUGAGAUUCUAGACUAGUUAAUUUCCCUGUGGGGAUCAAUAAAUUUCUUGUAUUGUAUUGUAUUGCAUUAUUCAAAACUUUGAGUUAUUUCACCAUCUAAAGAUGUAGGUUCAUUAUUAUUAUCCAGGAAGUCCAAUCCUGUCACAAGAUUCAUCACACAUUCACAUACAUGUUAAUUAUGAUUUUUGAGUCCUAUCUCAGAUACCCUCACCGGCCUCUGGAACCUAAUUAAGCAGCUUGAGUGUGUGUGACAGCAUCAUCUACAGAAAUAUUUAACUGGUCUGAACAGCGCACACAAAUCCUGAAAAAGAUGGGACGGUCAACAUGCUGCUGAAAAAGGCGUACUGAGACCUGGAGAAAGGCGAGCAGAUAGCUGUACAAAUCUGCCCCCCAGUUGGUUUCUCCUCUCCAGUGACUCAGGUGCUGAUCUCCUUCUAUCUUUACCAGCAGCACCACAAGGAGCAAGAACACAGAGCUAUCCAGGGAAAUUACCCUGUCGACAGACGGCACAUUGAGACUUCGUUAGCACAACCAUCCAACCUAGUGCCUCUCCAGCCUGAUCGAACUGAGCAACUCUCCAUGACAGAGUAAACAAAGCAGAAUCACCGGCAUGAUGAGGAAAAGAAGGUCUUUUUCAUUUGAUUCAAUUGCUGCAAAUCCCUGAAUACCCAUGUGGUUUUGUGUAUCAUAAACUUCAAUGAGGGUAUGUGAGUGGAAAGCCACAAGUGGAAAUAUGUCCCUUUGUUCUUAUUAUGAAUCUAUAUCUUUGCAUGUAUGCGUUUGUGUGUUUUUCUGCAUAUGUUUUUGUUUGUGCGUGUUUUUUAUGAGGGUAUUUUAUAUGUAAAUUUGACUUUCUGCAUGCGAUGCACCUGUAUACAAUGAGUCCAUAUUGAUAUUUACCUUAUAAUGGAUUUUCUAGGUGGGGUGUUUGUAUUCAUGCAAAUAUUUGUGUAUGUGUGCUUCUCUGUGCGUGUGUGUCUGUUUGUGUGCUUCAGGCAGAGGAGAAUGUCUGUGUUGAGUAAAAAGAAGAAGCGGAGGAGAGGUAUAAGUCAGAGCCUGUGAGUAAACAACCUGCAGUAGCUACAGCUAGUGUCAGUCUUCCUACCUCGCCUCCAUGGCUGCCGUGCCUUCCUCCUUUACUUUCCAUCCUCUGCGCUUAAACAAACACACACAGCAAUUGUGCUGCCAAGUUACUGAAAAACUCGUUCAGCAAACUUCCGGGCUCCUGCAACUCUGCUCAGCUUUUUGUGCCUAAAUUGAUAAUUGAAUUGACUAUCGCCAUGUAAUCAAUUAGGGUGUUCAUCCCCGGCUCUGAUUCAAACAGUUAAUUGGCUUGUGCCACAGAGAGGCUGAGACGAAGAGCUGACUGGUGCAGGAGGGACUGUUGGAUUACUACAGAUGGGCUCAGACCUAUUUGCAUUGUGUCUGACUUUAAGUCCUUGAUUGCCUUUCCUGGUUCAGAAAUUGCCUGGAUGCGAGCAGCACACAGGUUGUAAAAGGACCUCGGUGACAAAUUCUGCCUGUUUAAGUGAAGAGGGUGAGGAUACAUAUAGAGUGUGCACAGCGGG
rnacentral:lncRNA from 1 species